AAUACGUGAGUAACCUGCCCUUGACUCUGGGAUAAGCCUGGGAAACUGGGUCUAAUACUGGAUACUACCUCUUACCGCAUGGUGGGUGGUGGAAAGGGUUUUACUGGUUUUGGAUGGGCUCACGGCCUAUCAGCUUGUUGGUGGGGUAAUGGCUCACCAAGCCGACGACGGGUAGCCGGCCUGAGAGGGUGACCGGCCACACUGGGACUGAGACACGGCCCAGACUCCUACGGGAGGCAGCAGUGGGGAAUAUUGCACAAUGGGCGGAAGCCUGAUGCAGCGACGCCGCGUGAGGGAUGACGGCCUUCGGGUUGUAAACCUCUUUCAGUAGGGAAGAAGCGAGAGUGACGGUACCUGCAGAAGAAGCGCCGGCUAACUACGUGCCAGCAGCCGCGGUAAUACGUAGGGCGCAAGCGUUGUCCGGAAUUAUUGGGCGUAAAGAGCUCGUAGGCGGUUUGUCGCGUCUGCUGUGAAAGCCCGGGGCUUAACCCCGGGUCUGCAGUGGGUACGGGCAGACUAGAGUGCAGUAGGGGAGACUGGAAUUCCUGGUGUAGCGGUGAAAU
rnacentral:rRNA from 1 species